rnacentral:rRNA from 1 species
UGGGGAAUUUUGGACAAUGGGCGAAAGCCUGAUCCAGCAAUGCCGCGUGUGUGAAGAAGGCCUUCGGGUUGUAAAGCACUUUUGUCCGGAGAGAAAUGGCUCUGGUUAAUACCUGGGGUCGAUGACGGUACCGGAAGAAUAAGGACCGGCUAACUACGUGCCAGCAGCCGCGGUAAUACGUAGGGUCCAAGCGUUAAUCGGAAUUACUGGGCGUAAAGCGUGCGCAGGCGGUUGUGCAAGACCGAUGUGAAAUCCCCCGAGCUUAACUUGGGAAUUGCAUUGGUGACUGCACGGCUAGAGUGUGUCAGAGGGGGGUAGAAUUCCACGUGUAGCAGUGAAAUGCGUAGAGAUGUGGAGGAAUACCGAUGGCGAAGGCAGCCCCCUGGGAUAACACUGACGCUCAUGCACGAAAGCGUGGGGAGCAAACAGGAUUAGAUACCCUGGUAGUCCACGCCCUAAACGAUGUCAACUAGUUGUUGGGGAUUCAUUUCCUUAGUAACGUAGCUAACGCGUGAAG